UACGUAGGGGGCGAGCGUUGUCCGGAUUUAUUGGGCGUAAAGAGCUCGUAGGCGGCUGUUCGAGUCGGGUGUGAAAUCCUGAGGCUUAACCUUGGGUCUGCAUUCGAUACUGGGCGGCUUGAGUCUGGUAGGGGGAUCUGGAAUUCCUGGUGUAGCGGUGAAAUGCGCAGAUAUCAGGAAGAACACCAGCGGCGAAGGCGGCACUCUGGGCCGGUACUGACGCUGAGGAGCGAAAGCGUGGGUAGCAAACAGG
rnacentral:rRNA from 1 species